GAGAAAUGAGGAUACAGACUUCGUCUUACUUCUGUAGUGAAGACUUCAGAUCCAACUCUGAUCUCGCACUGAAGAC
rfam:Nestor notabilis contig45515, whole genome shotgun sequence.